CGCAUGAAGUGACGUAAUUGGGAACAAUAAAAUGGAGGGCAUGCCAGUGUCCUAGUUUAUGAAGGGAUUCUGAAGUGUUUUACAUGAAAUUUAAAAAUAUGCAGCACAGUUAUUUAAGGAAAAGGAUUAGAUUACCAAGAAAGUGAUUCAUCUCACCAAUUUCUGACGUAGUGACGAACAGAAGCCAUUGUUACAGUAGUGUUCAGAGACAAGUUUCAUAUUGAUAUAGCUUCUGUCUGAAAGUUCUCAUUUUCGACCAUUGCCAGUGGCAGCGAGGAAGAGGAGAUUUCAAAUCCAUUAGAGGAAUCGUGUAUUGUUGAUGAACAACACUUGUGUCCCGUUUGUGGGAAAAAAUUCAAAAGAAAGUUCAUAAGAAUGACAAAAGUAUCAGCCCGCCCGCUUAGCUCAGUAGGUAAGGGCGUUGGUCUACGGAUCGCGGGGUCGUGAGUUCGAUCCUCGGGCGGGGCGUAUGUUCUCCGUGACUAUUUGAUAAACGACAUUGUGUCUGACAUCAUUAGUCCUCCACCUCUGAUUCAUGUGGGGAAGUUGGCAGUUACUUGCGGAGAACAGGUUUGUACUGGUACAGAAUCCAGGAAAACUGGUUCGGUUAACUGCCCGCCGUUACAUAACUGAAAUAC